rnacentral:rRNA from 1 species
AAGAGACAGCAGCCGCCACGGGAAUACAGAGGGUGCGAGCGUUAAUCGGAUUUACUGGGCGUAAAGCGUGCGUAGGCGGCUUUUUAAGUCGGAUGUGAAAUCCCUGAGCUUAACUUAGGAAUUGCAUUCGAUACUGGGAAGCUAGAGUAUGGGAGAGGAUGGUAGAAUUCCAGGUGUAGCGGUGAAAUGCGUAGAGAUCUGGAGGAAUACCGAUGGCGAAGGCAGCCAUCUGGCCUAAUACUGACGCUGAGGUACGAAAGCAUGGGGAGCAAACAGGAUUAGAUACCCCAGUAGUCCCUGUCUCUUAUAC